rnacentral:rRNA from 1 species
CAACGUAGGGAACCUGCCCAUGCGGCCGGGACAACUUCCGGAAACGGAUGCUGAUACCGGAUAAGGAAAGCGAAGGCAUCUUUGCUUUGUUAAAGGAGCUGCAAGGCUCCGCGCAUGGAUGGACCUGCGGUGCAUUAGCUGGUUGGUGAGGUAAGGCUCACCAAGGCGACGAUGCAUAGCCGGCCUGAGAGGGCGAACGGCCACACUGGGACUGAGACACGGCCCAGACUCCUACGGAAGGCAGCAG